rnacentral:rRNA from 1 species
AGUGAACGCUGGCGGUAGGCCUAACACAUGCAAGUCGAACGGCAGCACAGUAAGAGCAUGCUCGUACGGGAGGCGAGUGGCGGACGGGCGGGGAAGACAGCGGAAUCUACUUUUUCGUGGGGGAUAACGUAGGUAAACGUACGCUAAUACCGCAUACGACCUACGGGUGAAAGCCGGGGAUCUUCGGACCUUGAGCAAUUGAAUGAGCAGAAGUCGGAUUAGCUAGUUGGCGGGGGAAAGGCGCACGAAGGUCACGACACUAAGCUGGUCUGAGAGCGUGAAUCGCCACCCUGUCAGUGAGGCACGCCCCACACUCCUACGCGAGGCAGCAGUGGGGAAUACUGCACGAUGCGGGAAAGCCUGAUCCAGCCCUACCGCGUGGGUCAAGAAGGCCUUCGGGUUGUAAAGCGCUUUUGUUGGGAAAGAAAAGCAGCACGUUAAUACCCCGAUGUUCUGACGGUACCUAAAGAAUAAGCACCGGCUAACUUCGUG